ACAACUUAAGGUAGUUUUAUAAUACCAAUCACAGGAUAAGUUUAUUCAUGUGGAUCCAAUACCUUUCACUUUUUUUUUUUUAGCAGCAAGCAACUUUGACUGCUGUCUUGGAUACACAGACCGUAUUCUUCAUCCUAAAUUUAUUGUGGGCUUCACACGGCAGCUGGCCAAUGAAGGCUGUGACAUCAAUGCUAUCAUCUUUCACACAAAGAAAAAGUUGUCUGUGUGCGCAAAUCCAAAACAGACUUGGGUGAAAUAUAUUGUGCGUCUCCUCAGUAAAAAAGUCAAGAACAUGUAAAAACUGUGGCUUUUCUGGAAUGGAAUUGGACAUAGCCCAAGAACAGAAAGAACCUUGCUGGGGUUGGAGGUUUCACUUGCACAUCAUGGAGGAUUUAAUGCUUAUCUAAUUUGCGCCUCACUGGACUUGUCCAAUUAAUGAAGUUGAUUCAUAUUGCAUCAUAGUUUGCUUUGUUUAAGCAUCACAUUAAAGUUAAACUGUAUUUUAUGUUAUUUAUAGCUGUAGGUUUUCUGUGUUUAGCUAUUUAAUACUAAUUUUCCAUAAGCUAUUUUGGUUUAGUGCAAAGUAUAAAAUUAUGUUUGGGGGGGAAUAAGAUUAUAUGGACUUUCUUGCAAGCAACAAGCUAUUUUUUAAAAAAAACUAUUUAACAUUCUUUUGUU
rnacentral:sRNA from 1 species